ACCCUAAAGACGAGGAUAACCAUUGGAAACAGUGGCUAAGACUGGAUAGGAAGAUAAAAGGCAUCUUUUAUCUUUUAAAAGACCUAGUAAUAGGUAUGCUUUAGGAGGGGCUUGCGCCAUAUUAGUUAGUUGGUAGGGUAAUGGCCUACCAAGACGAUGAUGUGUAGCUGGACUGAGAGGUUGAACAGCCACAUUGGGACUGAGACACGGCCCAAACUCCUACGGGAGGCAGCAGUAGGGAAUUUUCGGCAAUGGAGGAAACUCUGACCGAGCAACGCCGCGUGAAUGACGAAGUACUUCGGUAUGUAAAGUUCUUUUAUCAAGGAAGAAAAGCAAAUGGCGAACCAUUUGUUUGCCGGUACUUGAUGAAUAAGCCCCGGCUAAUUAUGUGCCAGCAGCCGCGGUAAGACAUAAGGGGCAAGUGUUAUCCGGAAUUAUUGGGCGUAAAGGGUGCGUAGGCGGUCUAGUAAGUCAGUGGUGUAAUGGCAACGCUUAACGUUGUCCGGCUAUUGAAACUGCUAAACUUGAGUUAGAUAGAGGCGAGUGGAAUUCCAUGUGUAGCGGUAAAAUGCGUAAAUAUAUGGAGGAACACCAGAGGCGUAGGCGGCUCGCUGGGUCUUAACUGACGCUGAGGCACGAAAGCGUGGGGAGCAAACAGGAUUAGAUACCCUGGUAGUCCACGCCGUAAACGAUGAGUACUAAGUGUCGGGUUAAACCGGUACUGAAGUUAACACAUUAAGUACUCCGCCUGAGUAGUACGUACGCAAGUAUGAAACUUAAAGGAAUUGACGGGACUCCGCACAAGCGGUGGAUCAUGUUGUUUAAUUCGAAGAUACCCGAAAAACCUUACCAGGUCUUGACAUGUUUUUGCAAAAUGAUAGUAAUAUCGUGGAGGUUACCAGAAACACAGGUGGUGCAUGGUUGUCGUCAGCUCGUGUCGUGAGAUGUUAGGUUAAGUCCUAAAACGAGCGAAACCCUUAUCGUUAGUUGCCAGCACGUUAUGGUGGGGACUUUAACGAGACUGCCAAUGAUAAAUUGGAGGAAGGUGAGGAUCACGUCAAAUCAGCAUGCCCCUUAUGACCUGGGCUACAAACGUGAUACAAUGGCUGUUACAAAGGGUAGCUGAAACGCAAGUUCUUGGCCAAUCCCCAAAAACAGUCCCAGUCCGGAUUGAAGUCUGCAACUCGACUUCAUGAAGUUGGAAUCGCUAGUAAUCGCGAAUCAGCAUGUCGCGGUGAAUACGUUCUCGGGGUUUGUACACACCGCCCGUCAAACCACGAAAGUUGGCAAUACCCCAAAACGGUAGCCUAACUCGUU
rnacentral:rRNA from 1 species